UACGUAGGCAGCAAGCGUUGUUCGGAAUUACUGGGCGUAAAGAGUGUGUAGGCGGUUUUCUAAGUUCGGGGUGAAAUCUCCCGGCUUAACUGGGAGGGUGCGCCGGAAACUGGAGGACUGGAGUGCCGGAGAGGAUAGCGGAAUUCCUGGUGUAGCGGUGAAAUGCGUAGAUAUCAGGAGGAACACCUGCGGUGUAGACGGCUAUCUGGACGGUUACUGACGCUGAGACACGAAAGCGUGGGUAGCAAACAGG
rnacentral:rRNA from 1 species